rnacentral:rRNA from 1 species
UACAGAGGGUGCGAGCGUUGUCUGGAAUCACUGGGCGUAAAGGGCGCGUAGGCGGCAAUUCAAGUCAUCUGUGAAAUCUCCGGGCUUAACCCGGAACGGUCAGAUGAUACUGCUUUGCUAGAGUGCGGAAGGGGCAAUCGGAAUUCUUGGUGUAGCGGUGAAAUGCGUAGAUAUCAAGAGGAACACCUGAGGUGAAGACGGGUUGCUGGGCCGACACUGACGCUGAUAGCGCGAAAGCCAGGGGAGCAAACGGG